CACAGAGUGAUAUAAGCGUGAUGUUAUCGUGACAGAUUGCAGUUUACAUAUUUUUGUGCAGUGUGUAUUUUCGUAUUAUAUUAAUUUUUUAGAAUAAAUUUGUGCAGCAAUGGAUCUGGACGACAAGACUUUCGAAAACAAAGAUGAUGAAAUAAAAUAUUGGAAAGAAAAAGCUCAAUCCCUAAAUGAAGAGUUGCAAAAUGUGAUAAGAGAGAGUGAAGAAUUCGAAUCAGAAUCCAAGCAGCUAGAGAAAGAAUAUGAACUUACCUUCAGUCAGAAUGAGAAACUUAUAAAGGAUUUAAGUAUUGCUAAUAGCAAAGCUAAUUUAGAGAUCGAGUCAUUAAGAGCAAAACUCGAUUCUAGUAAUAAGGAAAAUAAUCGUUUGGAAACUGAAGUUGAGGAAUUAACAAAACAAAAAACAGAACUUAAUGAAUAUGUCCGAACUUUAGAACAAAAAAAUGAUGACUUGGAGAGGGCUCGAAGAAUUGUUGAAGAAAGUAUUCAUGGCAUAGAAAUGUCUUUAAACACAGCAAUUGAAAGAAAUGCCAUAUUAGAAUCUGAAAUUGAUGAGAAAGAAAAUCUCAAAGAGAAGUUACAGAGACUUGUUGAUGAAACAAGAGAUCUUAAACAGGAGCUUUUGGUUAAAGAACGUGAGAAACUACCAGACAAUGACAGAAACAUGAAUGGUUUCAAGUCGGCUGUUGAUAUUAAUAAACUGAGGGAAACAGAAACGCAAACUACACCUAUUAAACGGGAUCCAAAUACAAAAUUAAUAUCACCACUGACCCCAGGAUCUCGAGUUAUGGCCAUAAACUUGGUUGGUGACAUUAUUAGAAAAAUAGGUCUAUCGCGAUACCUCUGCGUCCAGUGUGGAAGAUAUAAAUGUACAGAGUGUUCAAUACAACCCGACACUUAGAGACCAAGAACCUAGAGGGUUUAGAACGUAGCAUAGAACUCACCCGAAAUGAAUAUAUGGAAAUGCAUAAGAAACGAGCAGCAACGUCAGCCAAAAGUAGUCCAGCACCUAGCCUACAACGUAUAUCUAAAUGAAAUGAACUGAUUAUAGAGAAUAUUUUAAUUGCUUGUUCCUACAGUUCAACUUGAUGUUGAGACAUUAUUAAUUUCGGUUUGAAAUUCCCUUUUCAUUCAUCUUCGAUUCUUAUGCAUUCUUUUUACAAGAUAUAAGUUAAACCUUGUGUAAAAAAUAAUCAGAAAUUCUGAUCCUUUUGUAAAUGUAUGUAUAAUAAAUUAUCACGUCUCAUUAAAAUUAUUUAAUUAGGUUAUUGAAAGAGUUAUUAAAACUUGUACAGCCUGUUGAAUGAAAUUUGUCAUUGCAUGACAAAAAUAACAUUAUUUGGGGGAUUUCGUUAUCUCUUAGUAGAUAUAUUUCGAGGAAAGAGAUGAAAUUAAGAUGUCGUCAUCACAUUGAAACGUUUAUUAAGACAAUUUAUGUGAAGAAUAAAAAGAACAAACUGUACAACUUGCAGAUUUAUGUAAAAGUCAUGAAUUUUUAUAAAUUUGAAUUUCAAAUAGAUAUAUUUUUUGUAUAUAUGAAUAUUUUCUGUAUUAAAAAUGUUUUUCAUAUAUG